rnacentral:lncRNA from 1 species
ACUGUUCCAAAGUAUGUCAAAACCAACAUUGGACUAAAGAUAAGAAAAAAUGCACUCACCUGAAAAUUGACUCUACCAGUGAAAGGUUUUCCUGCACAGAGGAAAAUGCCCACUCUUUACCAUCCCUAGCUCAAGGUUGCCACCCCCGUAAGGUCACCUCGCUAGUCGGCAGACAGUGCCUUAUUGAGUGUCACCUGAAUCGCCACCACCUCCAAGCUCUAUGGGACACAGGCUCUCAGGUAUCGGUCAUUGAUGAACGAUGGAAAGAGAAUGGGACUGAAAUGCCGUACCUGGGAUGGAUUGAAGCAACUUUUCGGCUAGCCUCUGAAACUGACCAAACAAAGCAACUGAUCAUCCCAGUGCUGGUAAUGAAAGCUUAGGGUCAUUGCUUAUGGCUCUCGAACCUUAACCUGUUAGGGCUAGGGGGCAGUAUUGACACAGCCGGAUAAAAAACGUACCCGAUUUAAUCUGGUUACUACUCCUGCCCAGUAACUAGAAUAUGCAUAUAAUUAUUGGCUUUGGAUGGAAAACACCCUAAAGUUUCUAAAACUGUUUGAAUGGUGUCUGUGAGUAUAACAGAACUCAAAUGGCAGGCCAAAACCUGAGAAGAUUCCAUGCAGGAAGUGGCCUGUCUGACAAGGUGUUUUAUCUUGGCUCUUUUUAUUGAAGACUGAGGAUCUUUGCAAUAACGUGACACUUCCUACGGCUCCCAUAGGCUCUCAGAGCCCGGGAAAAAGCUGAAGGAUAUCGAGGCAGGCUCUGGCUGAAACACUUUAUCGCUUUUGGCAAGUGGCCGCUCAGAGUACUAUGGGCUUAGGCGCGUGCCCGAGUCGACCGAAUGCUUUCUUUUCUUUUGUCUGUUUACCUAAACGCAGAUUCCCGGUCGGAAUAUUAUCGCUUUUUUAUGAGAAAAAUGGCAUAAAACUUGAUUUUAAACAGCGGUUGACAUGCUUCGAAGUACGGUAAUUGAAUAUUUAGAUUUUUUUUGUCACGAAUUGCGCCAUGCUCGUAACCCUUAUUUACCCUUUCGGAUAGUGUCUUGAACGCACGAACAAAACGCCGCUGUUUGGAUAUAACGAUGGAUUAUUUUGGACCAAACCAACAUUUGUUAUUGAAGUAGAAGUCCUGGGAGUACAUUCUGACGAAGACAGCAAAGGUAACAACAUUUUUCUUAUAGUAAAUCUGACUUUGAGUGCUAAACUUGCUGGGUGUCUAAAUAGCUAGCCCUGUGAUGCCGGGCUAUCUACUGAGAAUAUUUGCAAAAUGUGCUUUCACCGAAAAGCUAUUUUAAAAUCGGACAUAUCGAGUGCAUAGAGGAGUUCUGUAUCUAUAAUUCUUAAAAUAAUUGUUAUGCUUUUUGUGAACGUUUAUCGUGAGUAAUUUAGUAAAUUCACCGGCAGCGUUUGGUGGGAAUGCUAGUCACAUGCUAAUGUAAAAACCUGGUUUUUGAUAUAAAUAUGAACUUGAUUGAACAAAACAUGCAUGUAUUGUAUAACAUAAUGUCCUAGGGCUGUCAUCUGAUGAAGAUCAUCAAAGGUUAGUGCUGCAUUUAGCUGUCUUCUGGGUUUUUGUGACAUUAUAUGCUAGCUUGAAAAAUGGGUGUCUUAUUUCUGGCUGGGUACUCUGCUGACAAUCUAAUGUUUUGCUUUUGUUGUAAAGCCUUUUUGAAAUCGGACAGUGUGGUUAGAUUAACGAGAGUCUUGUCUUUAAAAUGCUGUAAAAUAGUCAUAUGUUUAAGAAAUUGAAGUAAUAGCAUUUCUAAGGUAUUUGAAAAUCGCGCCACGGGAUUCAACUGGCUGUUGCGUAGGUGGGACGAAUUCGUCCCGCCUAGCCCAGAGAGGUUAAGCAUAUAAUCUUAUCUUUAAACUUCUAUUAUGCUAUCCUUCCCUUGCCUUUAAGUUCCUAAUUUAUUAGCCCCCUUUUAUCUCGCCUACAACCUCACCUCCUUUCCUAAGAAUUACCCUAUAUCCCCGGGUCGCACCCUACAAGUUUACGAUCCCAGCUGGAGAUUUCAGUAUUCUUAUCUAAAAUUUUCCGACCCCAGUCGUACUCUCGUAGGUACAAACCUCGCCGGCAGCAAUUGCUUUUUCAAUUAUUCCCUAUAUCCCCGGGUCGCACCCUACAAGUGACGAUCCCAGCCGGAGAUUUCAGUAUUUUCUAGUUCUAUAUCCCCGGGUCGCACCCUACAAGUGACGAUCCCAGCCGGAGAUUUCAGUAUUUUCUAUCCCUAUAUCCCCGGGUCGCACCCUUCAAGUGACGAUCCCAGCCUGAGAUUUCAGUAUUUUCUACGGUCCUAAUCGUGCCCUACAGUAUCACGGAUCUUGCCGGUAGAACAAUACUCAAAGUUACCAAGGUAAUAACAACACAUUCACCAUGGGUUUGCAUGUCACAAUAAUCACUCUAUAAUAUUUCUUAUCUACUCAUAAUAAUUCAUAAUUUGGUUCACUUACAUCGAACAGGUGCUUCACGAAAUUAAUUUGGUUAAAGCCAAUAUGCAGAUCUUUAGUUAUUAUAACAAUAGGUGUCUGCUUACCUGUUUUUAGUUGUCCGGACUCUUUGUGAAACACACCGUUUCCCGAGAGAAAUGUCCAAUUGGCUGAUCAAUGCUCAGCGAAGUUGUCCUCUACCAGAACGUCGGGAUCACCAUGUUAAAGUUGCGUCAAUUCGAUUCUGGUAUCAGAACAAAAUAGUCAGCACAUAGUAACUUCUGAUUUAUUUGUACUUUAAUUAAUGCAAACACGUGUAUGGUAAAUAUGUGGUUUAUAUAUAUAUAUAUAUAUAUAUGGUCUCGCUGUUACACCACGCAGGGCAGACAGAGAAGAGAACGUCACAUCCUAUUGUUCUCUCUUAUAUACUCUGACAGUGAUAGUUCCCGCUCAAUGCUGGCCUGUCAGAGGGAGGAGGAGCGUGGUUUAAACUUGCUCAUCCUAUCGUCGGCGUGCAGGCUGGUCCCAGCCUCGUGACGCACUUCCUGUCCCCGAUUGUAGUUCUUGUCUUCAGCAGUUGACUUAUCCGUAGUUUAUAUACUUAAUAUUGUAGCAUAGCUUCCCCAGUAUAUUAUAUAGCUUAUGCAAACAAAUAGCCAGUUCAACCCUAACAACAGGCUUCCUUCUUUUCACUCUGUCGAUUAAGCUAGCAUUGUGGAGUAACUACAAUGUUGUUGAUCCAUCCUCAGUUUUCUCCUAUCAAAGCCAUUAAACUCUUAACUGUUUUAAAGUCACCAUUGUCCUCAUGGUGAAAUCCCUGAGCGGUUUCCUUCCUCUCUGGCAAAGUGAGUUAGGAAGGGUGCCUGAAUCUUUGUAGUGACUGAUUGCAUUGAUACACCAUCCAACGUGUAAUUAAUAACUUCACCAUGCUCAAAGGGAUAUUAAAUGACUGCUUUUUAUAUUUUUACCCAUCUACCAAUAGGUGCCCUUCUUUGCGAUGCAUUGGAAAACCUCCCUGGUCUUUGUGGUUGAAUCUGUGUUUGAAAUUCAAUGCUUGACUAAGGGACCUUAAAGAUAAUUGUAUGAGUGGGGUACAGAGAUGAGGUAGUCAUUCAAAAAUCAUGUUAAAUACUAUUAUUGCACACAGAGUGAGUCCAUGCAACUUAUUAUUUGACUUGUUAAGAACAUUUUUAGUCCUGAACCUAUUUAGGCUUGCCAAAACAAAGAGGUUGAAUACUUAUUGACUUAAGACAUUUCAGCUUUUCAUUUUUUAUUAACUUGUAAAAAUUCAGUUGCAUUUUUCGAUUCGAUAUUGAUAUCAUAUCGGUUCGUAGGAAAUAAAUUGCAACUGUGCGAAUGCUCACUUUUCUGUGAAAUCCAGACAACUGCUUGCGGAUUGCCCAUUGGGCCAGGUGUGUUCUGGUUGCAUAAACCUACCUAACCAGUUUGAAAACAAUGGGAAGCCCCUCCAUAGUUGAUGGCUCAUCAGCAGGCAAUUAAGUAUGCUUGACAACCUGUUUUAGUUUAAAUGUUCGUUUUUUAAAGUAUGCUUAGCACUAGCAGCCUAUGAGAAGGUCUCUGAGAGGGCUUUUUGCUUAAAACCUUAACUUCUUUCAACAAAGUAAUUGACUCUCCGACAACUCAUAUAAAACAUAGUCUCGCAUGCCAUUGAGAAAAAGCGUAUUCACAUUGCAAGACUGCUAUAGAGAACAUUCACACAUAAACACCAAAACUGCUACUGUUUUCUAAAAGGCAGAUGCUACGGAUCCGACGUUUCUGGACACCACUUCUCGGAGGUGCAAGUAAGCCUACCCAUGACAACCUUUUAAAAUGCCUACCACUUCUUGCUGAAUGAAUCCUCUCCAAUUUGUCACGAGUCAACGUAAACACACUAUUGUUUGGAGCGGCAAGCCUGAAUCCUAAUUGCCUCAUCUGACAAAACACACGUCAGUGUAUCCUCGUUUAUUUCCAUGUCAACCUCUCCAUUUACAUGUUGCUCAUCUGCUUCAGUUUUCAUAGCGCUUACGAUUUCCUCAUCUGAUAAACCUCUACCACAACCUUCUAAGUGGUAGUAUUCAUUCCCAAUACCUUGGGUGUCUGAGAUUUGAUUGGGCUGCACCACUGACAGUCCAUCAUAUGAACUCGUGGCUACAUCAGGAUGAAGAUCCGUAGCAGGUUCUUUAUCCUCAGAGGUGUGUACACUUUGCAUAUUAAGUUGGCAGUCUGAGGGUCUUCUCUGAGCAGUUGACAUUCCCUCAUUUAAACUCUCCACAUGCAAUAGAUUGUGUACCUGAGCCUCAGUUACAUUCUCUGUUUGUACCAUUUUGUUUAAUUUCACCUUGUUGUCACUAGCAAUAGAAUGUAUAAAUGUGUCACAGUCCACUUUAAGACUAAAUCAAAUCAAAUGAUAUUUGUCACAUGCUUUGUAGACAACAGGUCAAAUACAGUGAGAUGCUUACUUACGGGCCCUUCCCAACAAUGCAAAGAGAAAGAAAAUAGAGAAAUAAUAGAAAAGUAAAACAACGGCUGUAAUUUGCAGUAGCUGUACUUGAACUCAACAUUAUUCUGAGUAGUAUAGAAAAGUAGCAGAUUCUACAUCCUUUUGACUAUCUAGAGAUACGCCAACACAAUCAGUGAUACCAAUUUGUACAGAUAUCACAUGCUAGCAUUGCUCAUUUACUGUUAUUUGGUGAUUUACACAAACAAAUUCCUCACCAUAUUUACGUUUCACUGCAUUUCGCUUCCCCACUGGUGUAAAGUACUUAAGAUUAAAUUCCUUUAAAGUACUAUUGACUUUUUUUUGGUGGGGGGGGUAUCUGUACUUUACUUUACUAUUUAUAUUUUUGACUACUUUUACUUCACUACAUUCCUAAAGAAAAUAAUGUGCUUAGCAGGACAGGAAAAUGGUGCAAUUCAUGCACUUAUCAAGAGAAUAUCCCUGGUCAUCCCUACUGCCUCUGAUUUGGUGGACUCACUGAAAACACAUGCUUAGUAUGUACACUAUGUCUGUGUUGGAGUGUGCCCCUGGCUAUCCAUAAAUUAAAAAACAAUGUUGCCGUCUGUGUCACGUCCUGACCAGUAAAGGGGUAAUUUGUAAUUGUAGACUGGUCAGGGUGUGGCAGGGGGUGUUUGUUUUGGGUUUUUUGGUUCUAGGGGAUUUUGGUUCUAGUUUUCUAUAUCUAUGUUUCUUUUUCUAUGUGUGGCCAGGUAUAGCUUCCAAUCAGAGGCAGGUGUCUUUCAUUGUCUCUGAUUGGAAGCCAUACUUAGGCAGCCUGUUUUUCCUGUGUUUUUGUGGGUGGUUGUUUUCGGUAUAGCCUAUAUGCCUUACAGAACUGUUUAUUGUCGGUUUGUUAUGUUUGUUUAAGUGUUCACUUUAUUUCAUAAUAAAAGCAGAUGAGCACUUUACCCGCUGCGUUUUGGUCCCCCUUCAUCGACACCUGUGACAGUCUGGUUUGCCUAAUAUAAGGAAUUUUCAAUGAGUUUUAUUUUAGCAAUUACAUUUACUUUGAUGAUUUAAGUACAUUUUAAACCA